GAGAGAAAAUGCCAUACUAAAAGGAUCAUAUAAAUCAAAAUAUAAAUAGAAAUAAUAAUAAUAUGUUGAGUAAUUCAAUUACAUCUUUUGAAAUAGCAAGAAACAAGCUUAGACGACUUAUCUCCACUUCUCUAAUGUAUGGAAGAAUUUGAAAUAGCAAGAAACAAGCUUAGACGACUUAUCUCCACUUCUCUAAUGUAUGGGAGAAACAUAUUACGUUAAGAUGCCAAUUGAGAGGAUAUGCUCUAAUAAAAAAAAUAUAUUGCCCAACUAGACAACCUAAAAGGAGGGAGGGUGAAUUAGGUUUAAAAAUUUUAAACAGAUAUGUCACUAGCUGUGAGUUAAUUCAAGUAUUGUGUUGUGAAUUUAAGCUAAAGCAGGCUGUCAGGACUUCAGGAGUCGACUCGGACUGACUUCAAGUCGACUCGACUGGUCUUUCAAGACUAUCAUUUACUCUUUCAAGACUAUCUACCCAUAAAAAUAAUCCAAGUUCAGAUUCGAAGUCCGAGGGAACACAAUGAUCAUCCAAGAUGCCACCACCAUCGUAGCCAUCCAAGACGCCACCAACAUCACCGCCAUUAUUACCAUCAUCGCCACCACCGGAGCAAGCUAAUUGAGAUAGUACUUAGAAUCCAGAUACUAGUCUCACAAGCAAACCAAAGUGCCAGUAGUGCUCUAACAAUCUCAAAUGCCAGCCCUAGCGAAUAGCAAUUUAGCCGGUAUUAUUUCGCCACCACCAAUAGUACAACCACUGCCUGAGCACCAAGACACAGAGGUUCAAUCCAGCCAUCAAUCCACAUGAGACAACCUUAAAAGCACCAUUUCGAAUGGGGUGGCAGAGCAGUAGGGUGGAGUGGGCGUGGGGAAGGAGACAGAGGGUUGUCUGAGUAGG
rnacentral:lncRNA from 1 species